AGGACGAACGCUGGCGGCGUGCUUAACACAUGCAAGUCGAGCGGAAAGGCCCUUCGGGGUACUCGAGCGGCGAACGGGUGAGUAACACGUGAGUAAUCUGCCCCUAGCUCUGGGAUAGCUCCGGGAAACCGGGAUUAAUACCAGAUACGACCACUUUAGACAUCUGCUGUGGUGGAAAGAAUUUCGGCUAGGGAUGAGCUCGCGGCCUAUCAGCUUGUUGGUGAGGUAACGGCUCACCAAGGCGACGACGGGUAGCCGGCCUGAGAGGGCGACCGGCCACACUGGGACUGAGACACGGCCCAGACUCCUACGGGAGGCAGCAGUGGGGAAUAUUGCGCAAUGGGCGAAAGCCUGACGCAGCGACGCCGCGUGGGGGAUGAAGGCCUUCGGGUUGUAACCCCUUUCAGCAGGGACGAAGCGAAGUGACGGUACCUGCAGAAGAAGCGCCGGCUAACUACGUGCCAGCAGCCGC
rnacentral:rRNA from 1 species